CAGCAGUCGCGGCAACACAAGGAAGACAAGUGUUAUUCAUCUUAAAUCGGUUUAAAGGGUACCUAGACGGUGAAUUAGGCCUUAAAUGGAACGUUUUUACUAGAGUUAUAUAUGCAUGAGGACUGUGUGAGUAUUACCAGAGUAGAGAUGUAAUUUUUUGAUACUGUUAAGACUGGUAAAGGCAAAAGCAAACCUUUAUAUAUUAACUGACGUUGAGGGACGAAGGCUUGGGGCGCAAACAGGAUUAGAUACCCCAGUAGUCCAGGCAGAGAAUUAUGAAUGUCAUAGAAUAGAUAUAAUAUUUAUCCUAUAAAUGAAAGUGUAAGCAUUCCACCUCAAGAGUAAUGUGGCAACGCAGGAACUGAAAUCAUUAGACCGUUUCUGAUACCAGUAGUGAAGUAUGUCGUUCAAUUUGUUAACCCUCAAAAAACCUUUCCACAAUUUGAAUAUAUUUAAUAGAUAUAUAUUUUUAUAUCUUUAUUUAUACAAGCGUUGCAUUGUUGUCUUCAGUUAAUGUUGUGAGAUUUUGGUUAGAUUCAUUAAAUUAACGUAAUCCUAUAUUCUAUUUAAAUAUUAAUAGAUUAGUUCACCGCUAUAUUGGAUAUUGAUAACCGGGAGUAAGACUAGUCGUAAUGACCUUAAUAUUGUGGGCAAUGAGACGUGCCACA
rnacentral:rRNA from 1 species